ACGCGCCACCGAGAAAACCGAGUCGGCCGCACGAAAAACAAUUAAACGAUAGCUUCAGCACACACAGAUCAAGCCCAACUUCAGAUUCAGCUAUGGCUACGGCUUUUCAGAUUGGCCCCAGCAACUGCAAGUCCAAUAAAUAGACCUCGCUCGCAAAAUGUAACAAAGGAGUUGCGCGGAAAAAAGUUGCCCAACGGCUGGUGGAAGGGGGGAGGAUGGAGGAUGCUGGAGGAGGAGGAGGUGGCCAGUCUCGAUCUCGGUUUUAGACCAAGUCCAGGCCAAGCCUUUGCCAAGCGCCCACUUCCUACUUGUUGCUGCACGCUGCCCACCAAGCCUCCACUUAGAAGCUGCACCACCGAGAUUUGGUUGUCGUUUGGUUCGGUGCCCGCUUGA